rnacentral:rRNA from 1 species
GCCAGACUCCUACGGGAGGCAGCAGUGGGGAAUAUUGCACAAUGGGGGAAACCCUGAUGCAGCAACGCCGCGUGAGUGAAGAAGUCAUUCGUGAUGUAAAGCUCUCUCAGCAGGGAAGAAAAUGACGGUACCUGAGUAAGAAGCCCCGGCUAACUACGUGCCAGCAGCCGCGGUAAUACGGGGGAUGCGAGCGUUAUCCGGAUUUAUUGGGUUUAAAGGGUGCGUAGGCGGCGCUUCAGGUCAGCGGUGAAAUACCGGGGCUCAACCCCGGGGCUGCCGUUGAAACCGGAGCGCUAGAAUUCCGAUGCCGUCGGAGGAAUGUGUGGUGUAGCGGUGAAAUGCAUAGAUAUCACACAGAACACCGAUUGCGAAGGCAUCUGACGAAUCGGAGAUUGACGCUGAUGCACGAAAGCGUGGGUAUCGAACAGGAUUAGAUACCCGGGUAAG